rnacentral:rRNA from 1 species
CAAUACGGUCAGUGGCGCACGGGUGAGUAACGCGUAGAUAAUCUACCUUCCAGCGGGGGAUAACGUUCCGAAAGGAACGCUAAUACCGCAUAAGACCACGGAGUCUUCGGGCUUUGGGGGAAAAGGUGGCCUCUCCUUGGAAGCUAUCACUGGAAGAUGAGUCUGCGUCCCAUCAGCUAGUUGGUGAGGUAAUGGCUCACCAAGGCUAAGACGGGUAGCUGGUCUGAGAGGAUGAUCAGCCACACUGGUACUGGAACACGGACCAGACUCCUACGGGAGGCAGCAGUGGGGAAUAUUGGGCAAUGGGCGGAAGCCUGACCCAGCCACGCCGCGUGAGUGAUGAAGGCCUUCGGGUUGUAAAGCUCUGUGGGAAGGGGCGAAAAACUGCGAAGAGAAUAUCUAGCAGGUUGACGGUACCUUCUUAGCAAGCACCGGCUAACUCUGUGCCAGCAGCCGCGGUAAGACAGAGGGUGCAAACGUUGCUCGGAUUUACUGGGCGUAAAGCGCGUGUAGGCGGGCGACUAAGUCGGAUGUGAAAUCCCUGGGCUCAACCUAGGAACUGCAUUCGAAACUGGUCACCUAGAGUGAUGGAGAGGAAAGCGGAAUUCCCGGUGUAGAGGUGAAAUUCGUAGAUAUCGGGAGGAACACCAGUGGCGAAGGCGGCUUUCUGGACAUUUACUGACGCUGAGACGCGAAAGCGUGGGGAGCAAACAGGAUUAGAUACCCUGGUAGUCCACGCUGUAAACGAUGAGUGCUGGGUGUUUCGGGUAUUGACCCCCGAGGCGCCGUAGCUAACGCGUUAAGCACUCCGCCUGGGGAGUACGGCCGCAAGGCU